rfam:Aedes aegypti strain Liverpool supercont1.162 genomic scaffold, whole genome shotgun sequence.
ACUCUCAUGGCGUAGUGGUUAACGCGCCCCAACUAGAGAUCGGGGAGUCGUGAGUUCGAUUCUCACUGAGAAGA